rnacentral:tRNA from 1 species
AAGAUAAACAAAAAUAAGCUUCUAACUUAAUUUUAUAGCAAUUAAACUUGUUAGUAUCUUU